rnacentral:rRNA from 1 species
UACAGAGGUCCCGAGCGUUGUUCGGAUUUACUGGGCGUAAAGGGUGCGUAGGCGGUGGGGUAAGUUUGAGGUGAAAGCUCCGGGCUCAACCCGGAAAAUGCCUUGAAAACUAUCCGGCUAGAGGGUUGGAGGGGAGACUGGAAUUCUCGGUGUAGCAGUGAAAUGCGUAGAUCUCGAGAGGAACACCAGUGGCGAAGGCGGGUCUCUGGACAACACCUGACGCUGAGGCACGAAAGCCAGGGGAGCAAACGGC